GUGGAUUAGAUACCCUGGUAGUCCACGCCGUAAACGAUGUCAACUAGCCGUUGGAGUCUUUAAGGCUUUAGUGGUGCAGCUAACGCGAUAAGUUGACCGCCUGGGGAGUACGGUCGCAAGAUUAAAACUCAAAUGAAUUGACGGGGGCCCGCACAAGCGGUGGAGUAUGUGGUUUAAUUCGAUGCAACGCGAAGAACCUUACCUGGCCUUGACAUGUCCGGAACUUACCAGAGAUGGUUUGGUGCCUUCGGGAACCGGAACACAGGUGCUGCACGGCCGUCGUCAACU
rnacentral:rRNA from 1 species